GGGUGCGAUCAUACUAGCGUUAAUGCACCGGAUCCCAUCAGAACUCCGCAGUUAAGUUUGCUUGGGCUAGAGUAGUACUGUGAUGGGUGACCUCUUGGGAAGUCCUAGUGUUACACCCU
rfam:Picea glauca, whole genome shotgun sequence.